rnacentral:rRNA from 1 species
CCGGGAAACUGGGAUUAAUCAAUGAUAGAUCAAAGUCUCUGGAAUGAAUUUUGGUUAAAAAGGGGAAGUAAGCAUGUUUUACUUCUUUCGCUCUAAGAUGGGACUGCGACCGAUCAGGUUGUUGGUGAGGUAACGGCUCACCAAGCCUAUAACCGGUAUGGGCUUUGAGAGAAGUAGCCCAGAGAUGGACACUGAGAUAAGAGUCCAGGCCCUACGGGGCGCAGCAGGCGCGAAACCUUCGCAAUGCGCGAAAGCGUGACGAGGUUAGUCCGAGUGUCAUCCGCUGAGGGUGACUUUUCCUAAGUCUAAAAAGCUUGGGGAAUAAGGGGAGGGUAAGUCUGGUGUCAGCCGCCGCGGUAAUACCAGCUCCCCGAGUGGUCGGGACGUUUAUUGGGCCUAAAGUAUCCGUAGCCGGUCCUGUAGGUCUUCUGUUAAAUCCAACAGCUCAACUGUUGAACUGCAGGAGAUACCGCAAGACUAGGAGGCGGGAGAGGCGGACGGUACUCCAUGGGUAGGGGCAAAAUCCUUUGAUCCAUGGAAGACCACCAGUGGCGAAGGCGGUCCGCCAGAACGCGCUCGACGGUGAGGGAUGAAAGCUGGGGGAGCGAACCGGAUUAGAUACCCGGGUAGUCCCAGCUGUAAACGAUGCGAGCUAGGUGAUGGAAUGGCUACGUGCCAUUCCAGUGCCGCAGGGAAGCCG